ensembl:lncRNA
GUAAUUACCUGCAAUGUCCUGAGAGGCAGCGUGUGAGAGCGGCUUCAUCCGAGUCAAUCAGACCCACGCAGGGUUGCUAAGUGCAUCUAGGACGCUUAAUUAGCUGAUCUGCUUUCACCGAGUGCACUUCAGCCUCCUGAAACCCGCACCGCGUAUUUUUCCCAUCGCUCCGAGUAUUAGUGCCUUGUGUGUGUUGACCUUACCUCCCAUAAUGCAUCUCCUGUCCUCAGCAUGGCUCUGUGUCACAGGACAGAGUUAGCGUCUCGCGCGCUUCACGCUCGUGUUAAUGGAGAUUAGCAGCGCAUGCUCGUUAGUCCAGAGACGGAACUUUCCGUCGUGUUCAGAACCGCUUUAAAAUAACGCACGCCCAUGAGUUUAAUCCUGGAGUCGGAAGAUGAGUCAGAAGUGUGUGUGUGAGACGGCGAGUUCGAUUUCAUGCUGAAGUUCCAUUCGAUCAGGGAUUAAUGAGACGAUGUUGACUGUGAGCGAGGCUGCGUUCAGACGCUCGGUAUCGUGGAAUAACCCGGGCUCAUUUCUGCCACUACAUCAUUUAACACAUGGGUUCAAAUAUAGAACUGUAACGAUACGAUCGAAUCCAACGUCAUCAUCAUUCACUCAUUACCACCAUCACUACCACCAUCAUUACCACCAUCACUACCACCAUCAUUACCACCAUCACUACCACCAUCACCCACACCAUCAUUAACACCAUCACUACCACCAUCAUUACCACCAUCACUACCACCAUCACUACCACCAUCACUACCACCAUCACUACCACCAUCACCCACACCAUCAUUAACACCAUCACUACCACCAUCAUUACCACCAUCACUACCACCAUCAUUACCACCAUCACCCACACCAUCAUUAACACCAUCACUACCACCAUCAUUACCACCAUCACUACCACCAUCAUUACCACCAUCAUUUACACCAUCACUACCACCAUCACUACCACCAUCAUUACCACCAUCACUACCACCAUCACUACCACCAUCAUUAACCACCAUCACCCACACCAUCAUUACCACCAUCAUUUACACCAUCACUACCACCAUCACUACCACCAUCAUUACCACCAUCACUACCACCAUCAUUACCACCAUCAUUUACACCAUCACUCACUCAUUAACACCAUCACUACCACCAUCAUUACCACCAUCACCCACACCAUCAUUAACACCAUCACUACCACCAUCAUUACCACCAUCACUACCACCAUCACUA